rfam:Ipomoea nil DNA, scaffold: scaffold3147, cultivar: Tokyo-kokei standard.
GGGUUCAUAGCUUAGUGGUAGAGUAAUUGACUGCAGAUCAAUAGGUCACCGGUUCAAAUUUGGUUGGGCCCU